ensembl:ncRNA Y95B8A.16 ncRNA
AACCUGCAGAGUUGAUCCAAAUUUCCGAAAAGGAGGUCCGGCUCGACAAGCAGUAGACAUCCCUCGACUUGACAUCUCUUCAGCGGCUCCUUGUAAACAUCGCGGAGCACGAAGAGCUGACGAUAGAGGAAGACGAGCUCCGUGUGGAAC